rnacentral:piRNA from 1 species
CUCUAGGUUUAAAGCUUGC